GAUAAGGAAUAUUAUCUUUGUGAAAACCUGCACCUUAUUUGACCAGAAACACGAACUCAAGUAGAAUCAUUUUAUUUUUUAAACGACAACAUGUUUCUCUUCUUAACAUUGGCGGUAUGUAUUUUAAAUACGGAGGCGUUAAUUUCACAACCCUGUAAGACAUCAGGGGACUGUAAUGCUGAUGAAUGUUGUCUAAUGAUCAUCCCACUGAAGGGUAAAAGACAAACAUCCAGUGGUUAUUGUUCACCUAGAGGUGCCGAAAAAGAAAAGUGCUAUGUUGACAACCCCUUUUCCAAAGAUGGUAGAUUUGCCAACAAGUGUCCCUGUUCAGCUGGUUUGGACUGCCACAAUCUAGGUGUAAGAGACAUACCACAAGGUUACUUAGGUGAAUGUAGAAUGUCUUCUACACAGAAAGUUACAAAACCAGAUGCUGACAAACCAUGCACUAGUGGAAAAGAAUGUGGUGAUGACGAAUGUUGUACGUCUAGAAUACGGCCACUGGGAAAACGACUUGCAUCUGGUGUUUGUCAGAAACUCGGUACAGCUGAAAAAGGUUGUUUGGUGAAGAUGGGAUCAACUCGACCAGACAAUAUGGUCUUCCAGUGUCCAUGUGCUUCAGGGUUUACUUGCAAGAGCAGCCAUGUUUUUGACAUACCCUUAGGAGAAAUGGGUGUUUGUCACUAGAAGAAAUAUUAUCCAAUAUCUUGUGUAUAUAUGACGAAUACUUUCUAUAAAGAUUAUACAAUAAACUCACUCAAUAACUCUU